rnacentral:rRNA from 1 species
CAGCGCCACAAGUGGGAAUCACAAUUAUUGGGCCUAAAGCGUCCGUAGCCUGUCUGAUGAAUCUCUUGUGAAAUCGUUCGGCUUAACCGAACGGCGUGCAGGAGACACUGUCAAACUAGAGACCGGGAGGGGUCAGAGGUAUUCCAUGAGGAGCGGUAAAAUGCUAUAAUCCAUGGAGGACCACCGGUGGCGAAGGCGUCUGACCAGAACGGAUCUGACGGUGAGGGACGAAAGCCAGGGGAGCAAUCCGGAUUAGAGACCCGAGUAGUCC